UUUGGCUCGUGGGGGUGCCGUCGCUACUGACAAAGCCUGUGCUCCCCGUCGUCCCUGUUGAAAUGGUGGCUGGAACUUGGAGAGGGUUUGCUGCCACAGCCGGAUCCAGUGUUACAUUCCUGUGGCUUUUUGGUUGUUUCCCAAUUAUUGAAGGGAGUUGCAGGCUUAUCAUGGGUGACACAGUGCUUUGCUCGCACCUUCACGGAGUACAGCAAUGUGGGGAAGCAAGUCGAGGACAGCCUCUCUCGAUUUCUGUCCCGGGGGCGCUAUACUCUUCCAG